UCGAUUCCCUUAGUAGCGGCGAGCGAAACGGGAAGAGCCCAAACCAACAAGCUUGCUUGUUGGGGUUGUAGGACACUCUAUACGGAGUUACAAAGGACGACAUUAGACGAAUCAUCUGGAAAGAUGAAUCAAAGAAGGUAAUAAUCCUGUAGUCGAAAAUGUUGUCUCUCUUGAGUGGAUCCUGAGUACGACGGAGCACGUGAAAUUCCGUCGGAAUCUGGGAGGACCAUCUCCUAAGGCUAAAUACUCUCUAGUGACCGAUAGUGAACCAGUACCGUGAGGGAAAGGUGAAAAGCACCCCGGAAGGGGAGUGAAAUAGAACCUGAAACCGUGUGCUUACAAGUAGUCAGAGCCCGUUAAUGGGUGAUGGCGUGCCUUUUGUAGAAUGAACCGGCGAGUUACGAUUUGAUGCAAGGUUAAGCAGUAAAUGUGGAGCCGUAGCGAAAGCGAGUCUGAAUAGGGCGUUUAGUAUUUGGUCGUAGACCCGAAACCAGGUGAUCUACCCUUGGUCAGGUUGAAGUUCAGGUAACACUGAAUGGAGGACCGAACCGACUUACGUUGAAAAGUGAGCGGAUGAACUGAGGGUAGCGGAGAAAUUCCAAUCGAACCUGGAGAUAGCUGGUUCUCUCCGAAAUAGCUUUAGGGCUAGCCUCAAGUGAUGAUUAUUGGAGGUAGAGCACUGUUUGGACGAGGGGCCCCUCUCGGGUUACCGAAUUCAGACAAACUCCGAAUGCCAAUUAAUUUAACUUGGGAGUCAGAACAUGGGUGAUAAGGUCCGUGUUCGAAAGGGAAACAGCCCAGACCACCAGCUAAGGUCCCAAAAUAUAUGUUAAGUGGAAAAGGAUGUGGCGUUGCCCAGACAACUAGGAUGUUGGCUUAGAAGCAGCCAUCAUUUAAAGAGUGCGUAAUAGCUCACUAGUCGAGUGACACUGCGCCGAAAAUGUACCGGGGCUAAACAUAUUACCGAAGCUGUGGAUUGUCCUUUGGACAAUGGUAGGAGAGCGUUCUAAGGGCGUUGAAGCAUGAUCGUAAGGACAUGUGGAGCGCUUAGAAGUGAGAAUGCCGGUGUGAGUAGCGAAAGACGGGUGAGAAUCCCGUCCACC
rnacentral:rRNA from 1 species